UACGUAGGGGGCAAGCGUUGUCCGGAUUUAUUGGGCGUAAAGAGCGUGUAGGCGGCCAGACAGGUCCGUUGUGAAAACUCGAGGCUCAACCUCGAGAUGUCGAUGGAAACCGUCUGGCUAGAGUCCGGAAGAGGAGUGUGGAAUUCCUGGUGUAGCGGUGAAAUGCGCAGAUAUCAGGAAGAACACCUAUGGCGAAGGCAGCACUCUGGGACGGUACUGACGCUGAGGAGCGAAAGCGUGGGUAGCAAACAGG
rnacentral:rRNA from 1 species